AGGAGGAGGAGGUCAGGC
rnacentral:miRNA from 1 species